AUUGAACGCUGGCGGCAGGCCUAACACAUGCAAGUCGAGCGAGCGGCGGACGGGUGAGUAAUGUAUGGGGACUGCCCGAUAGAGGGGGAUAACUACUGGAAACGGUGGUUAAUACCGCAUACUUUCGGAUAACCCAGAUGGGAUUAGCUAGUGGGUAAGGUAAUGGCUUACCUAGGCGACGAUCCCUAGCUGGUCUGAGAGGAUGAUCAGCCACAAUGGGACUGAGAAACGGCCCAGACUCCUACGGAGGCAGCAGUGGGGAAGAUUGCACAAUGGGCGAAAGCCUGAUGCAGCCAGGCCGCGUGUAUGAAGAAGGCCCUAGGGUUGUAAAGUACUUUCAGUCGGGAGGCGUUACCGACAGAAGAAGCACCGGCUAACUCCGUGCCAGCAGCCGCGGUAAUAA
rnacentral:rRNA from 1 species